rnacentral:rRNA from 1 species
AUUGAACGCUGGCGGCAGGCCUAACACAUGCAAGUCGAGCGGAUGAAGGGAGCUUGCUCCUGGAUUCAGCGGCGGACGGGUGAGUAAUGCCUAGGAAUCUGCCUGGUAGUGGGGGAUAACGUCCGGAAACGGGCGCUAAUACCGCAUACGUCCUGAGGGAGAAAGUGGGGGAUCUUCGGACCUCACGCUAUCAGAUGAGCCUAGGUCGGAUUAGCUAGUUGGUGGGGUAAAGGCCUACCAAGGCGACGAUCCGUAACUGGUCUGAGAGGAUGAUCAGUCACACUGGAACUGAGACACGGUCCAGACUCCUACGGGAGGCAGCAGUGGGGAAUAUUGGACAAUGGGCGAAAGCCUGAUCCAGCCAUGCCGCGUGUGUGAAGAAGGUCUUCGGAUUGUAAAGCACUUUAAGUUGGGGGGAAGGGCAGUAAGAUAAUACCUUGCUGUUUUGACGUUACCAACAGAAUAAGCACCGGCUAACUUCGUG